rnacentral:rRNA from 1 species
ACAUACCUCUGGUGUACCAGUUGUCGUGCCAACGGCAUAGCUGGGUAGCUAUGUAUGGACGGGAUAAGUGCUGAAAGCAUCUAAGCAUGAAGCCCCCCUCAAGAUGAGAUUUCCCAACUUCGGUUAUAAGAUCCCUCAGAGAUGAUUAGGUUAAUAGGUUCGAGGUGGAAGCGUGGUGACACGUGGAGCUGACGAAUACUAAUCGAUCGAAGACUUAAUCAA